rnacentral:rRNA from 1 species
GACGAACGCUGGCGGCGUGCUUAACACAUGCAAGUCGAGCGGAGCGGCGAACGGGUGAGUAACGCGUGAGUAACUGCCCCCCUCUCUGGGAUAACAGUUGGAAACGGCUGCUAAUACCGGAUAGUGGGGGAUGACUCGCGUCCAAUCAGCUUGUUGGUGGGGUAGUGGCCUACCAAGGCGACGACGGGUAGCCGGCCUGAGAGGGCGACCGGCCACAUUGGGCUGAGGUACGGCCCAGACGCCAACAGGGGGCAGCAGUGGAGAAUAUUGCACAAUGGUGGAACGCCUGAUGCUAAAGCGCCGCGUGCGGGAUGACGGCCUUCGGGUUGUAAACCGCUUUCAGCCAUGACGCGGUAGUGGCAGAAGAAGCACCGGCUAACUACGUGCCAGCAGCCGCGGUAAUAC